rnacentral:rRNA from 1 species
AGACGAACCGUGCAAACGUUGUUCGGAAUCACUGGGCUUAAAGGGUGCGUAGGCGGCCUAGCAAGUCGGGUGUGAAAUCCCUCGGCUCAACCGAGGAACUGCGCCCGAAACUGCUUGGCUCGAGGGAGAUAGGGGCGCGUGGAACUUCGGGUGGAGCGGUGAAAUGCGUUGAGAUCCGAAGGAACGCCGGUGGCGAAAGCGACGCGCUGGGUCUCUUCUGACGCUGAGGCACGAAAGCUAGGGGAGCGAACGGGAUUAGAAACCCCGGUAGUCC